UCGUAUUUAUGAUGAAUUAUUUCAGUUAUCCCUGUCAGACCAACAUUAUGGUGAAAUAAAUUUAAAUCUGAUAAACGA